rnacentral:rRNA from 1 species
AUGGCGGUCAGCAAGCAAUGGACGCGGGUGCGCACGCUCGGCCGCGGCGCCUCGGGGGCCGAGGUCUUCCUCGCCGAGGACGAUGUGUCCGGCGAGCUCUUUGCGGUCAAGUCCGCCGUGGGGGCGGCGUGUGCGGCGGCGCUGAGAAGGGAGCAUAUGGUGAUGGCCGGCCUGAGAUCCCCACGCGUCGUCUCCUGCAUCGGCGGCCGCGGCGCCCGCGACGGCUCCUACCAGCUCUUCCUCGAGUUCGCCCCCGGCGGCUCGCUGGCGGAGCAGGUGGCCAGCAGCGGGGGCCUCGACGAGCACGCCGUCCGCGGCUACGCGGCCGAUGUGGCGGCCGCGCUCGCGUAUCUCCACGCCACCGGGAUGGUGCACGGGGACGUCAAGGCGAGGAACGUCGUGAUCGGCGCCGACGGCCGCGCCAAGCUCGCGGAUUUUGGGUGCGCUAGGGAAGCCGCCGCCGGCGGACCGAUCAUCGGUGGCACGCCAGCGUUCAUGGCGCCGGAGGUGGCGCGCGGCGAGGAGCAGGGACCCGCGGCCGACGUCUGGGCGCUCGGCUGCAUGGUUGUUGAGAUGGCCACCGCACGCGCCCCGUGGAGCGGCAUGGACGGCGACGCGCUCGCCGCGCUGCACCUGAUCGGGUACACCCAGGCCGUUCCCGAGCUGCCCCAAUGGCUGUCCGCUGAGGCCAAGGAAUUCUUGGCCAAGUGCCUUGUCAGGCAGGCCAGCGACCGGUUCACGGCGGCGCAGCUGCUGGAGCAUCCGUUCUUGGCCGCUGCCGUUGUCGACGCGAAGCCGCAAGCCGUGGAGAGCAAAUGGGUGUCGCCCAAGAGCACGCUGGACGCGGCAUUCUGGGAGUCGGAGUCUGACACCGACGAGGCGGACGACGAGCCGUCGCACGGCGCGGCCGAGAGGAGGAUCAGCGCAUUGGCCUGCCCUGCGUCGGCGCUCCCCGACUGGGACUCCGACGAGGGAUGGAUCGACGUGCUCUCCGGGCCAACGGAAGCAGUUGCCGUUCCCGCCAAGGUGACGUGUGGCAUCAUCGUGGACGACGCGAUCACCAGUGAAGAGGAGUCAAUCGACCCAGAGUCCGGUGCUCUCGACAUUACCGUGGACGUGGAGUACAGCAGCGUGCUAAACGCAGGGCAAGAAACAUAUGAUGAUGGUUCAGUCAGUCAUCAUCAGUCACCGGAGAAUUUAGCUUCUGACCAAUUAGUGUCAUGUAAAUUGUUACCACUGUUAUUUGGCAACAGAAUUAGUAAUGCAAUCGAUUUCGUUCAUGCCAAAAGCACUCUGCUUCGCAAGCGCUGCUCCUCUGUUUCUUUGCUCUUACUCGUGCUCUGCUCCCCAUUGCGACACGAUUGA